rnacentral:rRNA from 1 species
AUUGAACGCUGGCGGCAGGCCUAACACAUGCAAGUCGAACGAGUGGCGGACGGGUGUGUAAUGUCUGGGAACCUGCCUGAUGGAGGGGGAUAACUACUGGAAACGGUAGCUAAUACCGCAUACCAUCAGAUGUGCCCAGAUGGGAUUAGCUUGUUGGUGGGGUAACGGCUAACAAGGGCGACGAUCCCUAGCUGGUCUGAGAGGAUGACCGGCCACACGGGAACGGGGACAGGGUCCAGACUCCUACGGGAGGCAGCAGUGGGGAAUAUUGCACAAUGGGCGCAAGCCGGAUGCAGCCAGGCGGCGUGUAUGAAGAAGGCCUUCGGGUUGUAAAGUACUUUCAUCGGGGAGGCGUUACCCGCAGAAGAAGCACCGGCUAACUCCGUGCCAGCAGCCGCGGUAAUUC